GACGAACGCUGGCGGCGUGCUUAACACAUGCAAGUCGAACGGAAAGGCCCUGCUUGCCGGGUGCUCGAGUGGCGAACGGGUGAGUAACACGUGGGUGAUCUGCCCCUUACUUUGGGAUAAGCCUGGGAAACUGGGUCUAAUACUGGAUAGGACCAUGCUGUAGGUGGUGUGGUUGAAAGAUUAGUUUCGGUAAGGGAUGAGCUCGCGGCCUAUCAGCUUGUUGGUGGGGUAAUGGCCUACCAAGGCGUCGACGGGUAGCCGGCCUGAGAGGGUGGACGGCCACAUUGGGACUGAGAUACGGCCCAGACUCCUAAGGGAGGCAGCAGAGGGGAAUAUUGCACAAUGGGCGCAAGCCUGAUGCAGCGACGCCGCGUGGGGGAUGACGGCCUUCGGGUUGUAAACUCCUUGCAGCCAUGACGAAGCCCUUGUGGUGACGGUAGUGGUAGAAGAAGCACCGGCUAACUACGUG
rnacentral:rRNA from 1 species